GCUCUGGUGACAAAACAGUAAAGUGCUUGGCUAUUAACUGAAAGGCUGGUGGUUCAAAUCCACCCAGGAGCU
rnacentral:tRNA from 1 species